rnacentral:rRNA from 1 species
GAGUUUGAUCAUGGCUCAGGACGAACGCUGGCGGCGUGCCUAACACAUGCAAGUCGAACGAAGUAUAUUUUUCGGAAUAUACUUAGUGGCGGACGGGUGAAAAAAAAAAAAACAAUCUGCCCUAUACAAAGGAAUAGCCUCGGGAAACCGGGAUUAAAACCAUAUAACACUUUUCGGUCGCAUGAGUGAGAAGUCAAAUUGAUUAAGAGGUAUAGGAUGAGUUCGCGUCUGAUUAGCUAGUUGGUGAGGUAAUGGCUCACCGAGGCGACGAUCAGUAGCCGGCCUGAGAGGGUGAACGGCCACACUGGAACUGAGACACGGUCCAGACUCCUACGGGAGGCAGCAGUGGGGAAUAUUGCACAAUGGGCGAAAGCCUGAUGCAGCGACGCCGCGUGAGUGAAGAA